UAGGGAAUAUUGGACAAUGGGUGCAAGCCUGAUCCAGCCAUGCCGCGUGCAGGAAGAAAGCCUUCUGGGUUGUAAACUGCUUUUCUCUGGGGAUAAAAUAGCCAUGCGUGGUUAAUUGAAGGUACCAGAGGAAUAAGCCACGGCUAACUACGUGCCAGCAGCCGCGGUAAUACGUAGGUGGCAAGCGUUGUCCGGAUUUAUUGGGUUUAAAGGGUGCGUAGGCGGUCAAUUAAGUCAGUGGUGAAAUACGGCAGCUCAACUGUCGAGGUGCCAUUGAUACUGGUUGACUUGAGUACUGAUGAGGUAGGCGGAAUGGACGGUGUAGCGGUGAAAUGCUUAGAGAUCGUCCAGAACACCGAUAGCGAAGGCAGCUUACUAAGGAGUAACUGACGCUGAGGCACGAAAGUGUGGGGAUCAAACAG
rnacentral:rRNA from 1 species